rnacentral:tRNA from 1 species
GAGUAGCUCAGCUGGAUAGAGCGUCCGCCUCCUAAGCGGAAGGUCGUGGGUUCGAAUCCCAUCUC